GAUGAACGCUAGCUACAGGCUUAACACAUGCAAGUCGAGGGGCAGCAUUGGGAUAGCUUGCUAUUCCAGAUGGCGACCGGCGCACGGGUGAGUAACGCGUAUCCAACCUGGCCCUAUCUCGGGGACAGCCCCUCGAAAGAGGGAUUAAUACCCGAUGUUCCCUGGUUUCCGCAUGUUUACCAGGGCAAAGGCUUUUGUCGGAUAGGGAUGGGGAUGCGUUCCAUUAGGCAGUCGGCGGGGUAACGGCCCACCGAGCCUACGAUGGAUAGGGGUUCUGAGAGGAAGGCCCCCCACACUGGGACUGAGACACGGCCCAGACUCC
rnacentral:rRNA from 1 species